GGGGAAUAUUGGACAAUGGGCGCAAGCCUGAUCCAGCCAUGCCGCGUGGAUGAUGAAGGCCCUAGGGUUGUAAAGUCCUUUUAACGGGGAAGAUAAUGACGGUACCCGUAGAAUAAGCCCCGGCUAACUUCGUGCCAGCAGCCGCGGUAAUACGAAGGGGGCUAGCGUUGCUCGGAAUCACUGGGCGUAAAGCGCACGUAGGCGGGUCGCUAAGUCAGGGGUGAAAUCCUGGAGCUUAACUCCAGAACUGCCUUUGAUACUGGCGACCUUGAGUCCGGGAGAGGUGAGUGGAACUGCGAGUGUAGAGGUGAAAUUCGUAGAUAUUCGCAAGAACACCAGUGGCGAAGGCGGCUCACUGGCCCGGUACUGACGCUGAGGUGCGAAAGCGUGGGGAGCAAA
rnacentral:rRNA from 1 species